rnacentral:miRNA from 1 species
ACAGGCAAGGGGAAGCGGUA